rnacentral:rRNA from 1 species
GUGAGGAAUAUUGCACAAUGGGGGAAACCCUGAUGCAGCGACGCCGCGUGAAGGAAGAAGUAUUUCGGUAUGUAAACUUCUAUCAGCAGGGAAGAAAAUGACGGUACCUGACUAAGAAGCCCCGGCUAACUACGUGCCAGCAGCCGCGGUAAUACGUAGGGGGCAAGCGUUAUCCGGAUUUACUGGGUGUAAAGGGAGCGUAGACGGAGAGGCAAGUCUGAUGUGAAAACCCGGGGCUCAACCCCGGGACUGCAUUGGAAACUGUUUUUCUAGAGUGUCGGAGAGGUAAGCGGAAUUCCUAGUGUAGCGGUGAAAUGCGUAGAUAUUAGGAGGAACACCAGUGGCGAAGGCGGCUUACUGGACGAUGACUGACGUUGAGGCUCGAAAGCGUGGGGAGCAAACAGGAUUAGAAACCCUUGUAGUCC